rnacentral:rRNA from 1 species
GAUGAACGCUAGCUACAGGCCUAACACAUGCAAGUCGAGGGACCGGCGCGCGGGGGAGUAACACGUAUCCAACCUGCCCUGUACUCGGGGAGAGCCUGGCGCAAGAAAGAUUAAUACCCGAUAUAAAGGAUGGGGAUGCGUUCCAUUAGGUUGUUGGUGAGGUAACGGCUAACCAAGCCUUCGAUGGAUAGGGGUUCUGAGGGGAAGGUCCCCCACAUUGGAACUGCGGCACAGACCCAACUCGUACGGGAGGCUGGAGUAUAGAAUAUUAGUGACUGGGCGCUAGCCUGAACCAGCCAAGUAGCGUGAAGGAUGAAGGCUUUUGGGUCGUAUACUUCUUUUAUAUAAGAAUAUGUAUUAGAUGAAUAAGGACCGGCUAACUCCGUGCCAGCAGCCGCGGUAAUAC